rnacentral:rRNA from 1 species
CCUACGGGUGGCUGCAGUGAGGAAUAUUGGUCAAUGGGCGAGAGCCUGAACCAGCCAAGUCGCGUGAAGGAUGACGGCCCUACGGGUUGUAACCUUCUUUUGUCCGGGCGCAAUUGAGUCCACGUGUGGGCUUAGCGAGCGUACCUGAAGACAAAGCAUCGGCUAACUCCGUGCCAGCAGACGCGGUAAUACGGAGGAUGCGAGCGUUAUCCGGAUUGAUUGGGUGUAAAGGGGGCGCAGACGGCAAUGCAAGACAGGAGUGAAAGCCCGGGGCACAACCCCGGGACUGCGUUUGGAACUGCAUGGCUGGAGUACAGGAGGGGCAGGCGGAAUUCCUAGUGUAGCGGUGAAAUGCGUAGAUAUGAGGAGGAACACCGGUGGCGAAGGCGGCCUGCUGGACUGUGACUGACGUUGAGGCCCGAAGGCGUGGGGAGCAAACAGGAUUAGAUACCCUUGUAGUC